rnacentral:ncRNA from 2 species
AAUUAAAUAUCUGUGCAAGGUGCCUCUUCCCCCGGAUGGGAAGGCUCAAAGGCGAAUUCGGUAAAGUCCGAUACUGUCCCGCAACUGUAAGCUCGUAAGAGCAAGUCAGGACGCCCGCCCUGCCAGGUUUGCCACU